rnacentral:rRNA from 1 species
UACGGGGGGAGCAAGCGUUGUUCGGAUUUACUGGGCGUAAAGGGCUCGUAGGUGGCCAACUAAGUCAGACGUGAAAUCCCUCAGCUUAACUGGGGAACUGCGUCUGAUACUGGAUGGCUUGAGAUUGGGAGAGGGAUGCGGAAUUCCCGGUGUAGCGGUGAAAUGCGCAGAUAUCGGGAAGAACACCCGUGGCGAAGGCGGCUCUCUGGGACGGUACUGACGCUGAGACGCGAAAGCGUGGGGAGCGAACGAGG